rnacentral:misc_RNA from 1 species
GGGAGGAUGGAUUGUAACAAGAUCUGGAAGAGGUGUUGUUGGACCUUGCUUUCCCUUGGGAUCCCAAUCAAGCAUGAUCUUCACCUUGAUGCCAAGUACUCCCUGUCUCAAGAGAACAUGUCUUACAGCAGAGUCAAUAUACUCUUUCACAGGCUGACCAGAAGAAAUCAUGUAACCAUCUUUGAACUUCAUGGACUUGGCGCGUUGAGCUCUCAAUUUUCCACUAACAAUCACCUCACAUCCCUUGGCUCCACUCUCCAUGAUAAAUCUCAAAACACCAUAGCAUGCCCUCCUGACAGCAAGACCACCAAGGAGCUUGUAUCGAAGUGAUUCAGCCUGAGCAAUGGCACAUAGUCCUCUGUUGUUGACCUUCUCAGCAUACAGCUCCACAGUGUUCUCAUCAAAAUUGAAUCUCUUCUGGACAACUGAUGUCAACUCCCUAAUCCUCCUCCCCUUGUCACCGAGAACAUUCUGAGUCCGAGUGGCUCUGAUGAUGAUCUCAGUCCUCAUUGGAGUAACUCUGACCUCCACUCCGGAAUAUCCAUCUUCAGCCAAUUCACGUGUCAACACUUCGUUCAGCUCGGCGAAGAACACGCCAUCAGCCACAAACUUCCUCUUUUUGCUCAUCUGAACACUCUGCUUCGCCAUCUUCGGAGGUUUGAGAACUUAGCAGACGAGACCUGAAGCUCUACCUCGGCGAUAAAUUCUGCCAGCAAUAUGCAGUCUAGGGUUUUUUUGCGGUCUGCGGCAGGUAAAUAUAUAUAUAU